CAGCCGCCGCGGGAAUACGAAGGGUGCAAGCGUUACUCGGAAUUACUGGGCGUAAAGCGUGCGUAGGUGGUGGUUUAAGUCCGUUGUGAAAGCCCUGGGCUCAACCUGGGAAUUGCAGUGGAUACUGGGUCACUAGAGCGUGGUAGAGGAUAGUGGAAUUUCCGGUGUAGCAGUGAAAUGCGUAGAGAUCGGAAGGAACAUCUGUGGCGAAGGCGACUAUCUGGGCCAACACUGACACUGAGGCACGAAAGCGUGGGGAGCAAACAGGAUUAGAUACCCGGGUAGUCCCUGUCUCUUAUAC
rnacentral:rRNA from 1 species